UACGUAGGGUGCAAGCGUUGUCCGGAAUUAUUGGGCGUAAAGAGCUCGUAGGCGGUCAGUCGCGUCUGCUGUGAAAACUCGGGGCUUAACUCCGGGCCUGCAGUGGGUACGGGCUGACUAGAGUGCGGUAGGGGAGACUGGAAUUCCUGGUGUAGCGGUGAAAUGCGCAGAUAUCAGGAGGAACACCGAUGGCGAAGGCAGGUCUCUGGGCUGUAACUGACGCUGAGGCGCGACAGCGUGGGGAGCAAACAGG
rnacentral:rRNA from 1 species